rnacentral:rRNA from 1 species
UACGUAGGGGGCUAGCGUUGUCCGGAUUUAUUGGGCGUAAAGAGCGUGUAGGCGGCCAGGUAGGUCUGGUGUGAAAACUCGAGGCUUAACCUCGAGAUGUCAUCGGAAACCAUCUGGCUAGAGUCCGGAAGAGGAGAGUGGAAUUCCUGGUGGUAGCGGUGGAAUGCGCAGAUAUCAGGAAGAACACCGACGGCGAAGGCAGCUCGCUGGGACGGUACUAACGCUGAGGUGCGAAAGCGUGGGGAGCAAACAGG